rnacentral:lncRNA from 1 species
ACCUACCCAUUUCUUAUUUUACUAACUUGAAGUCCAUCCUUUUCUUUUGAUAACAUAUUUCCUAUAUUCUGCAAUUAAAAUUCUUUUUUGACUUUGGUUUUAGAUCUGCUUGAUAUUCCUGAUUCCUUUUCAAUUGCUUACCUAGAUCACAUCUCAUAUACUUGGGGGUAAUGAUGCAAUUAUCAUUAUCAUAAGCAUUUUACUGUCCCAAAUCAACUGCCUAAUGCAAGUAUUAAAUCCUAUGUGGAACUUUGGGGUUCUGAAAAUAUGAGUAGUUGCAAAAAAACCUAAUAUCAUGGGCAAAAAAUUAUUGGUGGUGGACCAAAUUCUGGUAGUAGAUUAUGAGGAUAAGCAAGAUGUCUUCCACUGGAAUACUUCUACAUUGGUCGUCUUUCAGGAAUGAGAUUUAUCAUAUAUGCUUAUAUGCUAAAUAGAGUUGAUUCCUAAUAAAGAUUUCUUUAUUUCAUAUGUUGUGCCUCAGCAGAUUAAAACAUACAAGGGGUGAAGAAUACAUCUGGAAUGCAUCUGUGAGAGAAGAGGCAAAAGCAAUAUUUAUAAAUGAGGAAACAAAAUAUUUCAAGUGAGGAGAUUUGGUGUUAACCAAGGAGAAAACUAAAUGAGCAUAAUCUGAUGACUAUGGUUAUCACUUAAAGUGGUAAAAAGAUGCUACAGCAGCCACUAUGCUUUUGGGUAUGUGAAGUAUGAUGAGUAAGAGGAAGGAGUUAGUGAUUGGGAGAAUUCUAAAUGGUACAAUAGGGAUCAAGGAAGGAAGAUCCAUGGCAUAGUUGUGAGAUUCAAAUUUUGGUUGAUUUGAUUGGUGAUCCUCUAUCAGUUUAACUCUAUUGGAUAAACCUUGUUUCAAUCAGAAAUGUUUAUAUAAUUGAUGUAUCUGUGAUUCUCUC